rnacentral:miRNA from 1 species
AUUUAGCGAGCUGAGUGGGGAGGAGAGAGGGACAGAGAGCCUGCUUGCUUUAAACCGGCUCCUCUCCUCUCCCGCUUUGCUCCUUUAAAGCAAGCAGGCUCUCUGUCCCUCUCUCCUCCCCACUCAGCGGCUCUUCUC